GAAUUCGCCCUUAGAGUUUGAUCCUGGCUCAGAUUGAACGCUGGCGGCAGGCCUAACACAUGCAAGUCGAGCGGCAGCACGGGUACUUGUACCUGGUGGCGAGCGGCGGACGGGUGAGUAAUGCCUAGGAAUCUGCCUGGUAGUGGGGGAUAACGCUCGGAAACGGACGCUAAUACCGCAUACGUCCUACGGGAGAAAGCAGGGGACCUUCGGGCCUUGCGCUAUCAGAUGAGCCUAGGUCGGAUUAGCUAGUUGGUGAGGUAAUGGCUCACCAAGGCGACGAUCCGUAACUGGUCUGAGAGGAUGAUCAGUCACACUGGAACUGAGACACGGUCCAGACUCCUACGGGAGGCAGCAGUGGGGAAUAUUGGACAAUGGGCGAAAGCCUGAUCCAGCCAUGCCGCGUGUGUGAAGAAGGUCUUCGGAUUGUAAAGCACUUUAAGUUGGGAGGAAGGGCAGUAAGUUAAUACCUUGCUGUUUUGACGUUACCGACAGAAUAAGCACCGGCUAACUUCGUGCCAGCAGCCGCGGUAAUACGAAGGGUGCAAGCGUUAAUCGGAAUUACUGGGCGUAAAGCGCGCGUAGGUGGUUCGUUAAGUUGGAUGUGAAAGCCCCGGGCUCAACCUGGGAACUGCAUCCAAAACUGGCGAGCUAGAGUACGGUAGAGGGUGGUGGAAUUUCCUGUGUAGCGGUGAAAUGCGUAGAUAUAGGAAGGAACACCAGUGGCGAAGGCGACCACCUGGACUGAUACUGACACUGAGGUGCGAAAGCGUGGGGAGCAAACAGGAUUAGAUACCCUG
rnacentral:rRNA from 1 species